GAAUCAAAUAAAAAAGAGAACAAUGUAAUUACUCCUGGGGACAACAAUGGUGGACGGAUUGCAUAUCCACGACCUUCUGCAUCACCGCUUCAUGCAUAGGCAUGAGUAAGAUUUUUUGUUGUUAAUAUAAAGGAAUCCUUGGAUGGGAAACAUUUUGAGUUCAGGCAUGUGCUAGAAGCAUGUGCCUAUUUGAGCAGUGUACAGUUUCUGGUUAUGUACUUUGCGUGCGUGUUAGUAUUUAUGCCUCCAUUUUUGGAUUUUUCCUGUUCGCCAUCAGAAUGAUGGAGCACAGAUAGUUAUCUGGAUUACUGCAAUAUUUUGUACUUGAAAACAGCUACAGAAGAGCAAAGUUUUUAUGUGAGUAUAAUUAAGUUUAUUUUGAGC
rnacentral:misc_RNA from 1 species